AAAUUCUAUGUUCGUAUACAAUAUAGAAAUUUGCGUAUUAACUUGUUCUAUUUGUAAUCAUUUACAAGCAAUAAUCUUAAGGGAAGAUAAUCAAGCAGUUAUAUAGUAGUGAAGAGUAUAGCAUUGUAGGUAGUGAAGGUAGUAGCGAGGGUAGCGGGGGUAGCGGAGGUAGCGAGGGUAGCGGAGGUAGCGAGGGUAGCUAGGGUAGCGACGGUAGCGAGGGUAGCGGAGGUAGCGAGGGUAGCGAGGGUAGCUAGGGUAGCGAGGGUAGCGGAGGUAGCGAGGGUAG